GCGCACUUCACGCAGCUGCGAUUGAUUUGAGCCCCCGCUGUCGGCGGUUUGCACGGAGCAGCGCCGCUCGCACAGACGGCGCCGCUCUCGCUCCCAUUGAUGGCGUCGUCGAGCGACUACAAGCAGGCGUACAGCUGCUCGUGCGAGCGUGAAACGGUGUGCUCCGAGGGCGCUGCUCUGCAGGCCAGAAGGCGUCAAUGCCGGUCUGCUGCGCAGUGCUGCAAAACGUGCGUCUGUAUGUUUGUGCGACCCGCGCUUGCCUCACACCCCCUGUGCUCUCGACGAGACGUGCUGCCACAAUUUGCAUGUCUAAGCUCCGCCUGUGGCUCAGGCGUUUCUACCAUGCAUAGAGCUCCGCGCACCGCUCGGUUCCUCGCAACACCGUCCAGAUGGCGCUCGCUUCCGCGCAUCUGCGGCAGCGGCGCUCGAAGGCGGAGGAGGAGAAGAAAGAAAUAACCUUAAGGCUCGCCUUCGUGCACAGCGUUUGCCGCCAGCGUCUCCAGGCCGGCCGCCGAAUACUCGAGAUGGCGGGUCUGGCAGCCAUGGCCGCGGAGUCGUGCGCCGUCCCACUCUGCCAGGGUGAAAGGGACGCUUUCGAGUCUGCCCCUUCCCGAGGAACGUUCACCCACAACACAGCGAGGCCCGGCGGACAGCCAGGGCCCUAGCACUCAUCAAGACUGCCCGGUAGAACCCAGAGCUCGCGUCCUUUGUUGAAGCGUUGCAGCAUCCCGGAUCAAGCUCGUAUACGCGGCCACGGUGGUUGACCCCCAGGGCAAGAUCCUGAAUCCACGGACUCCAGGUCGGCGGCGAUGGCCUUUCUCGCCGACUCGGUCUCGGCCCAGGUUGCUGCGGUGCUGAGGACCCGCAAGCCAGACACGGCCGGUCACGUCAUCACUUGGUUCUCGGCUCGCAUAGGCCGGAACGCGUGUACCCCAACUCGAUUAACCCCAAUGAGCUGGCCCACGACCAGGCGCGAGGUCUCGUCAACAGCGCCGCUCCGAGGGGCCCGGCUUCGCAGGGGAUCGACCGAACCACGGACCCACUGCUUACUUUCCACGACAUCACUGCUCACUACUAGCUGAGACGCAUGCCGUUUUUGGCUCCUCGCCCGAAGCUAGGCAGACCCCAGGCCUCGGUGCUGAGAAUGCUGCAGACGGGCCCCUUUCCGUCUCGAUCCAGGCUGAGCCACUACACCGCGGGUGUGGAUCCCCGCUGCUCCGACUGCGUCGAGGAACGGUCCACCUUGAACCACAUGCUGUGGCAAUGUUCUGCGUUGCGCAACUCCCCUUUCAACAGGCAAGACGUUAAGAGCGACGACCUUCAAGUCCAGCUUCGGGCUGUCCAAAGGGCCUGCGACAGGGCUGAAGAUCACAGUCUUCCGCCCCAGGCGCGGGUGCGGCCGCGACUACGACGACGUAGUCCCUCAGGACCAAAUAAAGUUUCUUGUCUGUCUA